rnacentral:tRNA from 1 species
AGAAAUUUAAGUUAACAGACU